rnacentral:misc_RNA from 1 species
AGAUGUAUAAAAAUGCUGGAGUUAAAUUGCAAGGUCUCAGACACUUCUCCUCAACCCUUGCACGUCAGGAGAAAGAAAUAUUUAAACGAGACAAUAAAAUUCAUAUCAAUGCAGGAACUAUUGGAUCUUCUCAGCACGGAAAAACAUCGCUCGUCUCAAUGCUGACAAAAGUAUUGAGUUCUAGUCACGGUGUGCUAGCUCGUGAAGUGUCUGAUAUAGAUAAUAGUGCAGGAGAGCAGAGUACAGGCAGCUCACAGCAUCCAACACAUCUAGAGCUAUGGACGGAUGAGUAUAGAUACAGUUUAACAGAUCUACCUGGCAGAAAUACAUAUUUCAGAAACAUGUUUUCAUAUUUCUCAAUGCUAGAUCUGAAUUUGCUGAUAAUUAACCCAGAGGAGGGAUUACUUCAGGAUGCGUUGGCUAUGUACAGGAUUUCUAAACAUUACAAGAUACACACAGUUCCUAUAAUUUCAGCUAGACCUGAAACUGAAGCAGAAACCAUCGACUUGGUUAGAAUGGAGUUAGAUGAGUCUGGAGUAACUGAACCUUGUCUGGUUGUGGAGAACCCUAUAUCCGGAGCAAAUCCGUCUCAACCCAUCCUGCAGCUUCUCACAGAGAUAGAGAAAACUCUAAUCAGACCUAAGAGAGAAGAAUCUAAACCUCUCUACUUCCCCCUGGAACAAGUAGGAUCUAUACCCAGCAGAGGAACGUUUUGUGCUGGACGUAUUGAAUCUGGAAAAAUAAAGAUUGGGUCUCAGUUGGACGUUUUCUAUCACGGACAGAAGAGCCGGGGUAAUGUUAAAGAUGCGGAAAUAUUCCGUAAAAAAACAGAUUCUCUGUCAGCUGGGGAUAGAGGAGGAGUAUUCAUCAAACUUAAACCUGAUAUAGAUCUAAAGCGUGGAGGUGUACUGUAUGAACCCGGAAGUGAAUUAACUGCAUCAAAUAGUUGGAAAGUUCAAUUGAAAAGUUUACAAGGCUGCGGCAAUAUAAAUACCAAGGGCGAGUAUGUUCUUUUCCAUUCCACAUUCUCUGAUGGGAGAUCAACUCUUGAACCUUGCCAGCUCCAGGAAGAGGAGUUUACUCAAACCAUUCUCUCCGGAUCCGUCCAGUUUCUCGGUAGACCUGGAGAUACGAUCCUGCUCAAGUCCGGACACGGAUAUAUUCUCGGCAAUCUCAUUUAUCCUGCAUAGUUCUUAUGUUAAACGAAGCUUAGUUAUUAUUAUUCAGUAUCCAAUAUCCAUCCUUUACUACCAGUACCCCCCUCCCCCUCCCACCCUGUCUUUAAAGAUUUAUUGUUGCGAGUCAGGGGUCCAUAAAUUCCAUUUCCGAUCCCAAAUGGGAUCGGGAUUGAAAGUACAUUUAGUUUCUGCCCCUAACAUCCAAAUACCAAAUGUCUCCCUACUUUCAUACCUCCGUACAUAAUUAUAUAUUGAUGUCAUUGUGUACAUUGUAAAAAUUCUAAUUUUAAUGAUUUGAUAUUUCAAAAAUAUCUGCAAUUUCAACUCAAUAGCAUGUAUAUUGCAAUAAAAAUUUAUUGAAAUCAAAA